UAAUACCGCAUAUGAUCUACGGAUGAAAGCGGGGGAUCGCAAGACCUCGCGCGAUUGGAGCGGCCGAUAUCAGAUUAGCUAGUUUGGUGGGGUAAAAGCCCACCAAGGCGACGAUCUGUAGNUGGUCUGAGAGGACGACCAGCCACACUGGAACUGAGACACGGUCCGGACUCCUACGGGAGGCAGCAGUGGGGAAUUUUGGACAAUGGGCGAAAGCCUGAUCCAGCAAUGCCGCGUGCAGGACGAAGGCCUUCGGGUUGUAAACUGCUUUUGUACGGAACGAAACGGUCUCUUCUAAUAAAGGGGGCUAAUGACGGUACCGUAAGAAUAAGCACCGGCUAACUACGUGCCAGCAGCCGCGGUAAUACGUAGGGUGCAAGCGUUAAUCGGAAUUACUGGGCGUAAAGCGUGCGCAGGCGGUUAUAUAAGACAGAUGUGAAAUCCCCGGGCUCAACCUGGGACCUGCAUUUGUGACUGUAUAGCUAGAGUACGGUAGAGGGGGAUGGAAUUUCCGCGUGUAGCAGUGAAAUGCGUAGAUAUGCGGAGGAACACCGAUGGCGAAGGCAAUCCCCUGGACCUG
rnacentral:rRNA from 1 species